rnacentral:rRNA from 1 species
GAUGAACGCUGGCGGCGUGCCUAAUACAUGCAAGUCGAGCGAACGGACGAGAAGCUUGCUUCUCUGAUGUUAGCGGCGGACGGGUGAGUAACACGUGGAUAACCUACCUAUAAGACUGGGAUAACUUCGGGAAACCGGAGCUAAUACCGGAUAAUAUUUUGAACCGCAUGGUUCAAAAGUGAAAGACGGUCUUGCUGUCACUUAUAGAUGGAUCCGCGCUGCAUUAGCUAGUUGGUAAGGUAACGGCUUACCAAGGCAACGAUGCAUAGCCGACCUGAGAGGGUGAUCGGCCACACUGGAACUGAGACACGGUCCAGACUCCUACGGGAGGCAGCAGUAGGGAAUCUUCCGCAAUGGGCGAAAGCCUGACGGAGCAACGCCGCGUGAGUGAUGAAGGUCUGCGGAUCGUAAAACUCUGUUAUUAGGGAAGAACAGAUGUGUAAGUAACUGUGCACAUCUUGACGGUACCUAAUCAGAAAGCCACGGCUAACUACGU